AUCUGUAUAGCUUAUAUAGAGCAUGGCUUUGAAGGUGCCAAGGAAAUUAUUAUUUAUAGAUA
rnacentral:tRNA from 1 species